UAAUCUGCCUGCGCUUCAGGUGCUUCUGUCAAAGAAGUGAAACUGGGAAGUUAGUAAAAGCAAUUUUAAUCCGUUGUUUUUUGAGCUGACACUGCCCCCGCAACGGUGAAUAGGGUUUUCUAUAUAGAAAUUAGCCCUUAAGUCCGGAGACCGGCCUGCUGCACACCUACACA
rnacentral:ncRNA from 2 species